GGCCAGGCCGGACAGAACCAUUUGUGCCGUGGGGGGGGGAAAUUCCCCAAUAUCCCCUUUUUGCCCAUUUUUCCCCCGAUUUUUUCCCAUUUUUUCCCCAAUUUUUUCCCAUUUUUCCCCAUUUUUCCCCCAAUUUUUCCCUUUUUUCCCCAUUUUUUCCCAUUUUUCCCAUUUCUUUCCCCGUUUUCCCCAGUGCACAUCCAGGAGAACCUGGAGGACGCCCUGGUGCAGGAGGCGCUGCAGACCGGCGUGGACCUGCGGCAGUAUUCCCGGCAGGUGGAGCUGGAGCUGCAGGAGGUGGAGAGAGCCUCGAUCCAGGACUGUAUCCCCCAAAAAUUGUCCCCAAAACUGUCCCCGAGGUGUCCCCAAGUGUCCCCAAAAUGUCCCCAGGGUGUCCCCAGACUGUCCCCAAUUGUCCCCAAGGGCACAAUCCCCGAAAAUCCCCAAAUUUGGCACCAAAAUCCCCAAAUUUGGCACCAAAAUCCCCAAAUUUGGCACCAAAAUCCCCAAAUUUGGCACCAAUUUCCCUGAGGUUGGACCCAAAUUCUCUACAAUUGUCCCCAAAAUGUCCCCAAGUCCCCAAAAAUGUCCCCAGGCACCCCAAAAGUGACCCCAGGUCCUCCCAAAGUGUCCCCAAGUGUCCCCAGGGUGUCCCAGUGUCCCCAAAGUGUCACCAAACACCCAAAAAUGCCCCAAAACCGCUUCAAAAUGCCCCAAAAUGUCCCCAAAUCCCCAUAAACUGUCCCCAAAAAAUGUCCCCAAGUGUCCCCAGGGUGUCCCCGAGUGUCCCCAAGGUGUCCCCAAGGUGUCCCUGAUGUCCCCAAAGUGUCACCAAACACCCAAAAAUGCCUCAAAACCGCCUCAAAAUGCCCCAAAACAUCCCCAAAUCCCCAGAAAUUGUCCCCAAAAAUUGUCCCCAAGUGUCUCCUGAGUGUCCCCAAUUGUCCCCAAGUGUCCCCAAGUGUCCCCAAGUGUCCCCAGGGUGUCCCAGUGUCCCCAAAGUGUCACCAAACACCCAAAUAUGCCCCAAAACCGCCUCAAAAUGCCCCAAAAUGUCCCCAAAUCCCCAAAAAUUGUCCCCAAAAAUUGUCCCCAAGUGUCCCCAGACUGUCCCCAAGUGUCCCCAAGGGCGAAAUCCCCGAAAAUCCCCAAAUUUGGCACCAAAAUCCCCAAAUUUGGCACCAAAAUCUCCAAAUUUGGCACCAAUUUCCCUGGGGUUGGACCCAAAUUCUCUACAAUUGUCCCCUAAAUGUCCCCAAAUCCCCAAAAAUGUCCCCAGGAACCCCAAAAGUGUCCCCAGGUCCUCUCAAAGUGUCCCCAAGUGUCCCCGAGUGUCCCCAAGGUGUCCUUGAUGUCCCCAAGGUGUCCCUGAUGUCCCCAAAGCGUCACCAAACACCCAAAAAUGCCCCAAAACCGCCUCAAAAUGCCCCAAAACAGCCCCAAAUCCCCAAAAAUUGUCCCCAAAAACUGUCCCCAAGUGUCCCCAAGUGUCCCCAAGUGUCCCCAAAGUGUCCCUGAUGUCCCCCGGGUGUCCCAGUGUCCCCAAAGUGUCACCAAACACUCAAAAAUGCCCCAAAACAGCCUCAAAAUGCCCCAAAACGUCCCCAAAUCCCCCAAAAUUGUCCCCAGAAAUUGUCCCCAGGGUGUCCCCAAGUGUCCCCAGGGUGUCCCCAAGGUGUCCCCAAGUGUCUCCAAGGUGUCCCCAGGGUGUCCCUGAUGUCCCCAGGGUGUCCCUGAUGUCCCCAAA
ensembl:lncRNA